UCCAGACUCCUACGGGAGGCAGCAGUGGGGAAUAUUGCACAAUGGGGGAAACCCUGAUGCAGCGACGCCGCGUGAGUGAAGAAGUAUUUCGGUAUGUAAAGCUCUAUCAGCAGGGAAGAUAAUGACGGUACCUGACUAAGAAGCCCCGGCUAACUACGUGCCAGCAGCCGCGGUAAUACGUAGGGGGCAAGCGUUAUCCGGAUUUACUGGGUGUAAAGGGUGCGUAGGUGGCAGGGCAAGUCAGAUGUGAAAGCCCGGGGCUCAACCCCGGUACUGCAUUUGAAACUGUCCAGCUGGAGUGCAGGAGAGGUAAGCGGAAUUCCUAGUGUAGCGGUGAAAUGCGUAGAUAUUAGGAGGAACACCAGUGGCGAAGGCGGCUUACUGGACUGUAACUGACACUGAGGCACGAAAGCGUGGGGAGCAAACAGGAUUAGAUACCCUAGUACA
rnacentral:rRNA from 1 species